ensembl:lncRNA
GUCAUCUGUCUGUGUUCGGCUGAGAGGAGUUUGCACUUAAGAAUCAGACGGUGGCGCGGCUCGUGGUGACGUCACCCUGUGGUAGUACGGGUCGCCCACCAGGGGGCAACACAACACAAUAUGGAGGGCCAGUUACUAGCACCAUGAAACGGUAAGGGAGGAGAGAAACUAGUCGGUCGCUAUGGAGACCGAUGACUUCAUCAGCAGAUGAAGACGAUGGUUGUGAGUCCAGUCUAAAGAAGGUUUCCUGUUGUACGCGUCAGGGCGGCUUCUUCCCGAGGAGUUAUGAAAGACAUGAAUCAUAGAACAGGCCGACACAUGUUAAGUGUAAGAAAUAACUUUUAAUUGGUUAAC